rnacentral:rRNA from 1 species
UACGAGGGGGGCGAGCGUUGUUCGGAAUUAUUGGGCGUAAAGGGUGCGUAGGCGGUUUUGUAAGUCUUAUGUGAAAUCUACAGGCUCAACUUGUAGUCUGCAUGAGAAACUGCCGGGCUUGAGUAUGGGAGAGGUGAGUGGAAUUCCUGGUGUAGCGGUGAAAUGCGUAGAUAUCAGGAGGAACACCUGUGGCGAAAGCGGCUCACUGGACCAUAACUGACGCUGAUGCACGAAAGCUAGGGGAGCAAACAGG